rnacentral:rRNA from 1 species
GAUUAACGCUGGCGGCGUGCAUAACACAUGCCAGUCGAACGAUGAAACUUUAAUGAACCCUUCGGGGAGAAUUAAAGCGGAUUAGUGGCGAACGGGUGGGUAACGCGUGAGUAACCUGCCUUACACAAGGGGAUAGCCUUUGGAAACGAAGAAUAAUACCCUAUAAAACCAUAAAAGCACAUGCAAUUAUGGUCAAAGUGAUAGCGGUGUAAGAUGGACUUGCGUCUGAUUAGCUAGUUGGUGAGAUAAAAGCCCACCAAGGCAACGAUCAGUAGCCGGCUUGAGAGAGUGUACGGCCACAUUGGGACUGAGACACGGCCCAGACUCCUACGGGAGGCAGCAGUGGGGAAUUUUGCACAAUGGGGGAAACCCUGAUGCAGCGACGCCGCGUGAUUUAGAAGGCCUUCGGGUUGUAAAAAUCUUUUGUAUAGGAAGAAAAUGACAGUACUAUACGAAUAAGGUCCGGCUAAUUACGUG